rnacentral:snRNA from 1 species
UUCCCCAACCGAAUGGCCGGCUU